rnacentral:piRNA from 1 species
UCCUGGGUAGCUCAGUCGGUAGAGCAUCAGA